rnacentral:rRNA from 1 species
UUUGUAGGCUGAAAUGCAAGUCAAGUGUGAAAUCCCCGAGCUAAACUUGGGACGUGCAUUUGAAACUGUGUUUCUUGAGUAUCGUAGAGGGUGGUGGAAUUGCAGGUGUAGGAGUGACAUCCGUAGAGAUCUGCAGGAACAUCAGAGGCGAAGGCGACCACCUGGCCGAUUACUGACGCUGAGGAACGAAAGCGUGGGGAGCAAACA